GAGGUUAAGCGACUAAGCGUACACGGUGGAUGCCCUGGCAGUCAGAGGCGAUGAAGGACGUGCUAAUCUGCGAUAAGCGCCGGUAAGGUGAUAUGAACCGUUAUAACCGGCGAUUUCCGAAUGGGGAAACCCAGUGUGACUCGUCACACUAUCAUUAACUGAAUCCAUAGGUUAAUGAGGCGAACCGGGGGAACUGAAACAUCUAAGUACCCCGAGGAAAAGAAAUCAACCGAGAUUCCCCCAGUAGCGGCGAGCGAACGGGGAGGAGCCCAGAGCCUGAAUCAGCAUGUGUGUUAGUGGAAGCGUCUGGAAAGGCGCGCGAUACAGGGUGACAGCCCCGUACACAAAAGCGCAUGUGCUGUGAGCUCGAUGAGUAGGGCGGGACACGUGGUAUCCUGUCUGAAUAUGGGGGGACCAUCCUCCAAGGCUAAAUACUCCUGACUGACCGAUAGUGAACCAGUACCGUGAGGGAAAGGCGAAAAGAACCCCGGCGAGGGGAGUGAAAAAGAACCUGAAACCGUGUACG
rnacentral:rRNA from 1 species